UUUUCCGAGAGAGAGAGAUUAUUUUCUAACGCAUCCAGCUCUUCCUUGCACACCAAUUCUGAUGCGAGGAAAACUGGUCGCUGCAUUGCUGAAGGCUGGUGUGCAAUGGAUGCAGUGACGACAGGCUGUUCCAGCUCUUUCCGGCACAUUUUCUUAAGUUGCAGUUUUACAUCUACUACUGCAGUGGUAAGUUUAUGCGAUUGACGAAGAUUCUGCUCGAUUCGCUGAUCACAUAUCCCGAUUGCAUCAAGAAUUGAUUGUGUUUCCAUGAUUUGAUAUCUAAAACAAAUGCAUUAAAAUUGCAAACAUAUGCGUUAUAUACAUUGAAGACAAUAAUUCUUUUCCGAUUUACUCACAGUUAGAUGCAAUAAUUUUGCAAAUACAAAUCCGCUAGCGCUAGAUUCUGAGCCAGCAAAAAUAUACGCCUCUCUUCUUUGAAUUUCAAUGUUGUCAUUUAUUGUCAAAUCAAUUUGACGUAUCGAUAUGAACAACUUUUGACAGCGCUGUCACGCGACCACAUUGUUUACACACCGGCAGAUGAGCAAACAGCAAGCAACACACUCUUAUAAUUAAUUUGUUUUUUCAGUGCGAAUCGAUUAAACAAUGCUGCUAAUAGCUGAGGAGGUGUAUCACAACAACAAAAACAAAUCAUGAUAGAACAAUAAAAGGACUGCGGAUAGAAUUGUA